rnacentral:rRNA from 1 species
UACGUAGGGAGCAAGCGUUGUCCGGAAUCAUUGGGCGUAAAGCGCGCGUAGGCGGCCCCGUAAGUCCGCUGUGAAAGUCAAAGGCUCAACCUUUGAAAGCCGGUGGAUACUGUGGGGCUUGAGUAUGGGAGAGGUGAGUGGAAUUUCCGGUGUAGCGGUGAAAUGCGUAGAUAUCGGAAGGAACACCUGUGGCGAAGGCGGCUUUCUGGGCCCUACCUGACGCUGAGACGCGAAAGCGUGGGGAGCGAACCGG